UACGGGGGGAGCAAGCGUUGUUCGGAUUUACUGGGCGUAAAGGGCGCGUAGGCGGCGCAACAAGUCACUUGUGAAAUCUCCGGGCUUAACCCGGAGCGGCCAAGUGAUACUGUCGUGCUAGAGUGCGGAAGGGGCUACUGGAAUUCUCGGUGUAGCGGUGAAAUGCGUAGAUAUCGAGAGGAACACCUGCGGCGAAGGCGGGUUGCUAGGCUGACACUGACGCUGAGUGCGCGAAAGCCAGGGGAGCAAACGGG
rnacentral:rRNA from 1 species